UGAGUAACCUGCCCUUAACUCUGGGAUAAGCCUGGGAAACUGGGUCUAAUACCGGAUAUGACUCCUCAUCGCAUGGUGGGGGGUGGAAAGCUUUAUUGUGGUUUUGGAUGGACUCGCGGCCUAUCAGCUUGUUGGUGAGGUAAUGGCCUACCAAGGCGACGACGGGUAGCCGGCCUGAGAGGGCGACCGGCCACAUUGGGACUGAGACACGGCCCAGACUCCUACGGGAGGCAG
rnacentral:rRNA from 1 species